UACGUAGGGCGCAAGCGUUGUCCGGAAUUAUUGGGCGUAAAGAGCUCGUAGGCGGUUUGUCGCGUCUGCUGUGAAAACCUCAGGCUCAACCUGGGGCUUGCAGUGGGUACGGGGCAGACUAGAGUACUGCAGGGGGAGACUGGAAUUCCUGGUGUAGCGGUGGAAUGGCGCAGAUAUCAGGAGGAACACCGGUGGCGAAGGCGGGGUCUCUGGGCAGUAACUGACGCUGAGGGAGCGAAAGCGUGGGGAGCGAACAGG
rnacentral:rRNA from 1 species